rnacentral:rRNA from 1 species
UCUGGUGAUGAUGGCGAAGAGGUCACACCCGUUCCCAUGCCGAACACGGAAGUUAAGCUCUUCAGCGCCGCCGAUGGUAGUCGGGGGUUUCCCCCUGUGAGAGUAGGACAUCGCCAGGC